rnacentral:lncRNA from 10 species
AGUUCCUGAGAAAACCAACAAAAAUAGGCAAGCAUUUUCCAAUGAUACCGAUAAAGAGGCCAACAACCUGCUUACUUCAGAGAAAAAAUUUUCCUUCCGUCACUGCGAAUGCAAGAAUGAUUUCUCUGCCAGAUGUUUCCCACGUUUCCAAGCUGUUUUAUUUUUAAGACUUAGUUUUAAAUUCUGAUUAAUAUGCAUACGUGUGAGAAGUAAAAACUUGUCAACAAGGAUGAAUCAGUAUUUGUAGACCUUUAAGCAGUAGUAGCCAAUUAAGAAUCCAUUCAUUAAGUCAACAAAUAUUUAAUGAAUGCCAACUGCGUUUCAAAUCAUUUCAGAAUUCGGAGGCAAAGAAGCAGAUGAGGCACCUGUCUGCCCUCAUAGAGCUUUCGUGGCAGAAAGGGGGACCAAUUAAAUAAGCAAAUGAAAAAAUAUCAAGGACAAAUGCUACAAUGAAAAUAAAACAGGUUGAUGUGAUGGCAGCUGGUGAAUGACUACUUCAGAUGAGAUGGUUAAAAGAGGCCCCUCCAAGGAGGUGCUCGUUAAGUUGAGACAUGCAUGGCAAGCAGCCAGCCAUGAAAAGAUCAGAGGCCCAUUGCAAUUGGAUGAAAGAAAGCCAGACUGAAAUCUGUCUGCAAAGGUGCCUUUGCUUCCCAUGAACAGGUGGACAACAAAAUGAAUGUUGGAAGUGUGGGAAAAUGCAAUUGAUUUGAUAGAAGGGAAAAGAGCUCACACAUUUAGAAACUUCUGAGUUUGCCUUUAAAUUUAGAACUGAAACUCAGAGAGAGCAGAAACCACUGUGUCCUGAGGAUCCAGCUUCGUAUUUGACACAGGUAACAACCUUCACACUGAAAAAAUUACUACAGUAAACUUAUUCUGACAUCAAUUUAUCAUGUGGUCGCACUGGGGCAGUGUUGUCUGGUGGGUACUGGAGACCUUCCGUGUCACUGCUGCUCUCACCAUGGCUUGGAUCCAGACUGCACCACAGCCUCUCAGGAGACGUGGGCCCUCGGAACCUCUUUAGUGCCAGAUUCCAGGCUGCAGGCAGCCCCUUGGCAGUAGGAUAACAGAACCUCUGGAUGGAUACUUCCUGAGAAGUUUUGCUAAUUUGCAGCAGCUGGACCGUGUUUCUCAUUAACAUCUGUCUGUCAGUUUAGUCAUCACAUCAUUUCACUGUGGUGGCAGGGACUCAGCUCAGAAUUCUAGAUAGAAAAAGCACCUGGAUCCCAGUUUUUCAAUGGCUUCAAGACAACCAGAAGUGCCUGCUCUUGAGGCUAGUGGGCCUCUAGGCAAGAUGUUCCUGCCCACCAGGAUAUACCGUUGGGCAUCCAGCUACGAUGAUGCCCUCAAGGACCCUGCGCCCAUGACUCUUCCUCCACUGGACAUGAGCAGUGUCCCCUAGAAGCCAGUGAUUCCAGAGCACAAUAUCAGUGCAUCACCAAGGUGGAGGAAGAUGAGGCCAGCCUACCCUCCCCAGCCAUGACCCUGUCAUCGGCCAUUGACAGUGUGGACAAGGUCCCAGUGGUGAAGGCUAAGCUACACAUGUCAUCAUGAAUUAUCGGAUCACAAAACAGACCCAGGAAAGUAUUCAGCAUUUUGGGUGACAGGCAGGGCUGAGAGAUGCUGGCUACACACCCCACAGGGGCCUCACCACCGAGGAGACCAAGUACCUUCCAGUGGCAGGAGCACUCCACAAACUAAAGCUACAGAGUAGAGAGAUAACAAAAGAAUAGAGGCAGCCUGCAUCAGCCCGGUCACCCCAAGCUCCACUCCUCAUUCUUCCCCUAAGCAGAAGCCCAGAGGCUGGCUCACUUCUGGUUCUUCCACAGCUUUACCUGGCCCAAAUCCUAGCACCAUGGAUUCUGAAAGUGGGGAUAAAGACAGAAACUUGUCAGGUAAGUGGAGCCUCUUUGGACCAAGAUGCCUUCAGAAGUUUGAUUCUGGAAGUUUUGCCACCCAGGCCUACCAAGGAGCCUAGAAGCCUUCUCCAAUGGAAUUGAUCCAUGCCCAGGCCAGCUGAAUGGCUGAAGAUCCAGUAACCUUGAAGCUGCCCAAGAUGAACAUCCUAGUGAUGGAAGGGAAGAAACAGCCACCAUGGACCCAUAAGCUCAAACCACCUGACUUGAAUGUGCUCACACCCACUGGCUUCUAGAGCCCUUUCUAUUCUAGGGACUCUACCUUGGCUGUGACAUAGGAAGGUUACAUUUUUCAAAACCUGUUAAAUUGAGACUAGCACUGGAGACAUAAUUGGUGUUUGAGAAACAUUAGUACAAAGCUUGCCCUUGUUGUGUGCAAAAAGCCAUUUUGUACUGCUUUAAAGUUGGACUAAAUAAUCUCAGCAGUGAUGUAUGGGGGAUCUCAUUACCUAUUUUUU